UGCAGUUUAAAACAGCAGGAGGUAAUAACACAAAAUUAAAGGCAAAAGUGCGUAGAAGUGUGCUCCUGGGGAGCCAGGGCUGACAGACCUGCUGUAGUGCUCUCAGAGGCUUUGCACACUCCAAUAUAGACAGAUCUGCUAGAACAAACAUUGACAGUUCCACAGCACAAUCCACUGAUCCAGUGGUUUAUUAAAUGUGCUGUAGCUCGCAGGUAAGAAAUGCUAAUCCUCAUUGGGACAGCUACAAGCAAAUGAGCCAUCCCUAAAAGCUUACAGCGUUGCACUCAAAUCAUUUCACAACCAGCAUCCCUCAUCGCUCAUACAACAAUGCUGUGAAAAUACCCUCCCUGAUAAAUUGCAAAUUCCUAAAGCAAGACGGAACCUAGCAUCUCUUCCCACCUUCCAGGCGCAGCGGAAGGACUGCAGAGGCAACCAGCAACACCUCAGACUCCGGAGGUCAGCUUUAUCGCCUUCGAGUUUUUCUGAAGCCCUGCCUGAUUAGACGCACUCCGGACCGACUUUCAUUCGGAUCAAACGUGACGUGCUGGCGACACGCACGCAAAGCUGGCGGAGCAGCCACGCAGCAAAGCCUUCAGCAGGCAGGAGGAGGUGGAACGUCUUUUUUAAAACAAUGCACAGCUCCCCCCAGAAGAGAACAAGUACCCCCUUUGAAAAUGUAUGUGCCUAAAAGUGGCUGUACUUCGAACACAGACCGAUACGCCACGUUUUCACUCUGAUGAGCUCAAGGAGAGACGUGUUGUUGUCAAACACUGCAGAGAAUAAAACUGUUCUAUCUGA